rnacentral:lncRNA from 1 species
GAGAGAGUGCCUGCGGGUGGAGAAAGGUCCAGUCGGGUGGAAAGCACCGAGGGCCCCAGGUGCAAUGAGGAGGAAGAAAGAAGGUCCUAAUAUUUAAACGCCUGAAAAACAAGUGGUUAUUGUUUUUCUUGGGAAAUGGAAGGCCUGGAAAGCGGAACUUGGGUUCAGUGGGCCGGGCAAUAGCAAUAAGGCGGCAGUAAAUUGCAACCAAAGUCAAGAAACUCAAGCUCCUAAUUUCGGGAAAAUAUACACUGGGUUUAAAGGAAUAGCAUAGGACAUGCUGCCUAAUUUUUGACCAGUAUCUCUUAUUUUUGGUAACCUCUGAAGAAAACACCUACUACUUCGUUUUGAAAAUAGACUUUCCUUGUGAAGCUAUUAAAAUGCUCACUCACGGACACUGAAUAAAAUUCCAUUCUAUGGAUGUACCACAGUUUGUCCAUUCACCUAUUUGACGGACAUCUUGGUUGAUUCCAAGUUUGGACAAUUAUAAAUAAAGCUGCUAUAAAUAUCCACGUGCAGGUUUUUGUAUGGACAUAAAUUUUCAUCUCAUUUGGGUAAAUACCAAGGAGCGCAACUGCUGAAUCUUAAGCAUACGGUGGAGUCUUCCAGAGGCUAUAUGACGUGUAAUAUCACAACAGAAGCAGAUAUGAGAACCCAGCGGUCUUCUGUUAAACCACAUAUUAAAAUACAAAAUGUAAAACAAUAGCAC